AAUAAAAGACAUAAGGUAACUAAAAUUAGGUCCAGUGUGAAAAAAGACCAAGCAGAGAGGCAACAAGCAUCC